GUCCAGCUAAGUUUUGUAUUAGUAGAGACAGGAUUUCACCAUGUUGGUUGGGCUGGUCUCAAACUCCUGACCUCAAGUGAUCCACCUGCCUCAGCCUCCCAAAGUAUUGGAGUUACAGGCAUGAGCCACCACGCCCAGCCUGAUUUUUUUUUUUUAAUACGGAAUGCUUCACCAAUUUGCAUGUCAUCCUUGUGGAGGGGACCAUGCUAAUCAUCUCUAUCAUUCUAAUUGCAAGCACCAGAUUUUUUUAAUUUUUAAUUUUUUUUAGAACCAAGUUCUUGUUUUGUCACCCAGGUUGGAGUGCAGUAGUACAAUCAUAGCUCACUGCAGCCUCAAAUUCCUAAGCUUAAGAGAUCCUCUUGCGUCAGCCUCCCAAGUAGCUAGGACUACAAGCACACACCACCACACCUGGCUAAUUUUUUUAAAAAAUUUUUUGUAGACACAAAAUCUUGUUACGUUGCCCAGGCUGGUCUUGAACCUCUGGCCUCAAGUGAUCCUCCCACCUUGGCCUCCAAAAAUGCUGGGGUUAUAGGCAUGAACCUCCAUGCCUGACCUCGUAUCAGACUUUCAACCAUAGCCAUUUUAAG
rnacentral:lncRNA from 10 species